CUGGAGGCCUAACCCCUGUUCUGUCCCUUGCUUAGUGCUGGCGUGGGCCAGACAGGUACUCUCAUCGCGCUGGACGUCCUGCUCCGACAGCUGGACUGUAAGGGUCUGGUGGGUCCCUUCAGCUUCGUGAAGAAGAUGAGAGAGAGCCGGCCACUGAUGGUGCAGACAGAGGCCCAGUAUGUAUUUCUUCACCAGUGCAUCUUGAGAUACCUCCAGCAGUCAGCCCCGGACCUUAUCCUGAAGGAGACAACAUAUGAGAAUGUGUCCAGCUACAUCUACGAGAAUGCAGCAGCCAUCAGGGCCCAUGAGUCUGAGGCCUCGGCUACUGGGUGCUGAGCCUACACACAGAAAUAGUCAGGCUGGAUAUGGACCCCUGCUGGAGCCCAGAUACCCAGACCUCCAACAGAACUGAGGGCUGGAGUCUCAGCCUCCCCAGCCCAAGGACAGGAUGGGACUGAUGUACUUCCACUAUGAGCCCUGUGGGAGCCCGGAGCCUGAGGACAGGGAUGACAAGGGGGAUUUCCUGUUCUUUGAGUGGAGGUGGCUGUGGCCUGGGUGUAGACAGGGUCUCAAAGAAACAGGCUGGAACCUGGAUUCGGAAGAAGGAAUCAGGGUCUGGAAUUCUGCUACCCGAGGAUCAAAGGCAGGCAGGCACCUGCCCCCCUCACCCCGCUAUUUCACCAGAUCAGCCUCCUUGAAUCGGAGGCUGAAGGGAGUCGCUUUUCCUGUGGUCUCCUGCAACCCAUGCCUGCACAUUCUUUCCGUCCAUAUAAUUUAUUAAACCAUUCUCCCCGAA